UGCUACCUGGAGACUUCUGUCAAUGUACCACUGGGGGUAAAGUUAAUACAUUAAUAAUAAUGUGAUUACAAAACAGUUUUACAUUUUGUUUCUGGUCUGUCUACAGUCGUGAUAUUUGUUUUGUUCCAAGCAAAACUUCUAUGAGGUGGUCCAGAAUUAUUGGCGCAUGUGGGCUGACGCUGCUCACUGGUUGGAGAAAUCCACUGUUUACACAUUAGACAGUGACUGACUCCAAGUCAAACUUUGAGGCAAUUCAAUAUCAGUCUUAAUGUACAGUACAGUCUACUCACUUAUAGUUAAGCACUGAUCCUGCUGUCAUCUCAAUACAUGGGUAGUUAUGUAUCACAGAAAGAUUCAUUUUAAAUUUGUUCCUUAGCUGCCACUUAGCUGCUUGCGAACUGCAGCAUUACAGACAUUGCCCUGAAGCUGCCUGCUUUCCACAAAGUCCUUCUCAAUCCUUCUGACCAGCAUCCACUCCUAUUCAUGAGUGGAAAUGAGCUGGUGAUGUACCUGGCAGCACUGAAUAAGCAGGUGACUGAUUUCACCAGGUUAUGUGAAGCAGAAUUCAGUGUUACCAAUGGGAAUAAAGCAGUGCAAAAUAAGAAUAUGAUUAUUUUCUGGACAGGAUGUGUUUAAGACGCAUCUCUCAUAUGAAUCACAGCUUCACUUCCUAAAAGAUACAGUCAAUUGGAUCCUGGAGCUGCUCGUGGCUCAGGAAAAACAUCCUGAUUUCCUAAAGUGCUGUUUACUCAGGUGCUAGAACUCUACAGAGAUGCAGGAGGCUUGGCUUAUGUCGUAUUGGACCUUAUAAAAUUGUCCAGCAGACACUAAAGGCCAUGAAGAAUAUAUGAAUUUAUAUGAAUAUAAUAAUUGUUAUAUAUGAAUAUAACAAUUUCCUCCGGAAAUUUUCUGCUGACACACACUAACCUGUAUUGACUAUGUUACUUGCAUUUUUUGCACACCUCCUGGAACUGAACAAGUAAUUUCUGCACCUUACUUGUAUUUUUGCACCUUAUUUACUUUUUAGGCACCUUAUCGGCAUUGCCAAUUUUACGCUGCUAAUGUACAUGUCACUACCUCAUGAACCAUUGUACCAUCUAUUCACCAUCAUGUACUAACACUUGUCCUUAGUCCUGUCUUCUAAUUACUUGUUUAUAUUAGGGAUAAUUAGGAAUAUCUUUUGUAGUUAUUUAUUAUAGGAUUUUUUGUAUUUAUUGUUGUAUUUUACACUGUUUUGUAUUGUCUUGCACUUUUUGUACCGUGUUACACUGUGAUC